CCAUUAGCCCAUUUCCUUUUAGCCCAUUUUCCUUUUAAUUAAACUGACCCGUUGUAAUAUGUAUAGGUGAUAUAUCUUCUAGGUCCUUCGGGAGAUAGACACAGAACUCAUUUUUGUCUCUGGAGAGUUCUUCAUCUGAGAAAUGAAAACUUCAUCUUUUUCUCCAUUUUUGAUCUUCAAUGUUUUCAUGGUAUCAGAGCAGGCGAUCUUCGGAUGCUUCUCCGUCAUUUGUUAUUAACUCUGUCAGAGUUGUAUUGAAGAUUUUUUUUGGAUAUUUGUGAGAGAUUUUGUUGUUGACAAACUCUAUGUGUAUCGA
rnacentral:lncRNA from 1 species